rnacentral:rRNA from 1 species
UCCUGGCUCAGGACGAACGCUGGCGGCGUGCCUAACACAUGUAAGUCGAACGGGACUCGGGGGGCAACUCUCGAGUUCAGUGGCAGACGGGUGCGUAACACGUGAGAAACUUGUCCAUCGGUGGGGGAUAGCCGGCCCAACGGCCGGUUAAUACCGCGUACGAUCAUUUAGGGGCAUCUCUGAAUGAUGAAAGCAUCGCAAGAUGCGCCGGCGGAGAGUCUCGCGGCCUAUCAGCUAGUUGGCGGGGUAACGGCCCACCAAGGCGACGACGGGUAGCUGGUCUGAGAGGAUGGCCAGCCACAUUGGGACUGAGACACGGCCCAGACUCCUACGGGAGGCAGCAGUGGGGAAUCUUGCGCAAUGGCCGCAAGGCUGACGCAGCGACGCCGCGUGUGGGAUGACGGCCUUCGGGUUGUAAACCACUGUCGGGAGGAACGAAUACGCGCUUCGUGCGCGGGUGACGGUACCUCCAAAGGAAGCACCGGCUAACUCCGUGCCAGCAGCCGCGGUAAUACGGAGGGUGCGAGCGUUGUCCGGAAUCACUGGGCGUAAAGGGCGCGUAGGUGGCCCGUUAAGUGGCUGGUGAAAUCCCGCGGCUCAACCGCGGGGCUGCCGGUCAGACUGGCGAGCUAGAGCACGGUAGGGGCAGA